GCAAGUUUUUAGGGUUUCUACUUGCUAAUUAGAAAGAGUUUAUUAGCUGCAGUUUUUCUAACCCUAUUGCAGGACACAAAAGAAAAAUCUUCUUUGGCAAUUCACGCUCCUUUCCACCCAGAGACUGCCUCUGCUACUAUCAACCCUCUUGAUGGAGGGUUCAUAUAAAUAUCACCAAGCUAAAAUUAAGCCGAUUCCACAGUACCACUAGUGAAUAGGAACUAUAAUAUAUGCAGGUGACUCACAAGGAGUUCAAACCAGAGGUCUGUUUCACAGUCUACCUGAACAAGGACUGAAGAACUACUCAACCAAAUGUGGCAUCUCCAGAAGGCUGAGAUAUAAUGUAAUGAGUAGUAAAACUCACAGUGAAAUAAAGGCUUGGAGGCAGAAGACUGUAGAAGAGAAUAUAAGUAACUGAGCAGACAGAUUCAAAACAGACUGGAUAAGACACGAGCAAAUAUACAAGAGAAAAAUGUAUGGAACCUGAGAAUUAUAA